GUUAUGCCAAUCAACUUGCAGAGAGAAUGAUUCAUCACAAUGGUUAUCGAACUCUUAGUUUUAAGCCCCAAGUUGUUCAGGUGCAUCCCUCGUCUGUUAUGAAGCCAGACGAAGAAGGGAAAUUUGCCGACUACGUUGUGUACCAUGAGCUCAUUACAACAUCUCGACCCUAUAUGCGCAAUGUCUGUGCAGUACAGGUUGAU
rnacentral:misc_RNA from 1 species